AUUGAACGCUGGCGGCAGGCCUAACACAUGCAAGUCGAGCGGAUGAAGGGAGCUUGCUCCUGGAUUCAGCGGCGGACGGGUGAGUAAUGCCUAGGAAUCUGCCUGGUAGUGGGGGAUAACGUCCGGAAACGGGCGCUAAUACCGCAUACGUCCUGAGGGAGAAAGUGGGGGAUCUUCGGACCUCACGCCAUCAGAUGAGCCGAGGUCGGAUUAGCUAGUUGGUGGGGUAAAGGCCUACCAAGGCAACGACCCGUAACUGGUCUGAGAGGCGGGUCAGUCACACUGGAACUGGAACACGGUCCAGACUCCUACGGGAGGCAGCAGUGGGGAAUAUUGGACAAUGAGCGAAAGCCUGAUCCAGCCAUGCCGCGUGUGUGAAGAAGGUCUUCGGAUGGUAAAGCACGUUAAGUUGGGAGGAAGGGCAGUAAGUUAAUACCUUGCUGUUUUGACGGUACCAACAGAAUAAGCACCGGCUAACUUCGUG
rnacentral:rRNA from 1 species